GGGGAACGAGAGAGGGGCUUGGGCAGUGAGCCACCCUAACCCCAAGGAAAUAGAGGCUCA
rfam:Mus musculus chromosome X genomic contig, GRC reference assembly alternate locus group 129S6/SvEvTac.